UACGUAGGGGGCAAGCGUUGUCCGGAAUCAUUGGGCGUAAAGCGCGCGUAGGCGGCCCGGUAAGUCCGUUGUGAAAGUCAAAGGCUCAACCUUUGAACGCCGAUGGAUACUGCGGGGCUAGAGUGCGGAAGGGGCAACUGGAAUUCUCGGUGUAGCGGUGAAAUGCGCAGAUAUCAGGAGGAACACCGAUGGCGAAGGCAGGUCUCUGGGCCACUACUGACGCUGAGAAGCGAAAAGCAUGGGGGAGCGAACAGG
rnacentral:rRNA from 1 species